UACAGAGGCCUCAAGCGUUGUUCGGAAUUACUGGGCGUAAAGGGAAUGUAGGCGGUGACGUAAGUCAGAUGUGAAAGCCCUGGGCUUAACCCGGGAACUGCAUUUGAUACUGCGUUGCUAGAGUGUGGAAGAGGAGAGCGGAAUUCCAGGUGUAGGGGUGAAAUCCGUAGAUAUCUGGAGGAAUACCGAUGGCGAAGGCAGCUCUCUGGUCCAUAACUGACGCUGAGAUUCGAAAGCGUGGGUAGCAAACAGG
rnacentral:rRNA from 1 species